CCAGACUCCUACGGGAGGCAGCAGUGAGGAAUAUUGGUCAAUGGCCGGAAGGCUGAACCAGCCAAGCCGCGUGAAGGACGAAGGUGCCAAGCAUUGUAAACUUCUUUUGUCAAGGGACAAAAUCAGGCUCGAGAGCCUGACCGAGGGUACUUGAAGAAAAAGCAUCGGCUAACUCCGUGCCAGCAGCCGCGGUAAUACGGAGGAUGCGAGCGUUAUCCGGAUUUAUUGGGUUUAAAGGGAGCGUAGGCCGGUCUUUAAGCGUGCCGUGAAAUUUUGUGGCUCAACCAUGAGAGUGCGGCGCGAACUGGAGACCUUGAGUGCGCGGAAGGCAGGCGGAAUUCGUGGUGUAGCGGUGAAAUGCUUAGAUAUCACGAAGAACCCCGAUUGCGAAGGCAGCCUGCCGCAGCGUUACUGACGCUGAAGCUCGAAAGCGCGGGUAUCGAACAGGAUUAGAUACCCUAGUA
rnacentral:rRNA from 1 species